GAAACGCCGCAGCUUCCCAAGCCUCACCCACCUCGCAGCGUCCAGGCAAGUUUUGUGUUUUGUUUUUAAAAAGGGGUCUCGCUCUGUCUCCCAGGCUGGCUGGAGUGCAGCGGAGCAAUCAUAGCUCACCGCAGCCUUGACCUCCCGGGCUCAAGCAAUCCACCCACCUCAGCCUCCCGAGUAGCUGGGACCACAGGUGUGCACCACCACACCUGGCUAAUUUUUAAAUUUUUUGUUGAGAUGAGGUCUCGCUAUGUUGCCCAGGUGCCCCACCCCCAGCCACAUCCUUGACUUCCGAGAUGCAACGUUGCUGGUCACACAAAUUAGCAUAAGCUGAUCAAAGGAGCAGUACUUUCAUUAUUUAAAAUGCAUUUUUAAAGAUAUUAAGCCAGCUGCUGUGACUCAAAUCCGUAUGAUCACCAUGAGAGGCUGAGGCGGGAGGAUGGCUUGAGCCCAGGAGGUCUAGGCUGCAGUGAGCCAUGAUCAAACCACUGGGCCUGCAAUCUCAGCUGCUCGGGAGCCUGAGGCAGGAGAAUCAUUUGAACCUAGGAGGCAGAGGAU
rnacentral:lncRNA from 10 species